UCCACCAUCUGUGUAUUCAAUUAUCAAAGCAAAAAAUCCAACCACAGACAUUCAAGGAGGAAGAAACAGAAACAAACACGCACGUAUCUCUCCAAUCCACAAUAACCAAGAGGUGCGUCUCAUCAUGCCAUACACAAACUAGCACAUUAAUCACAAAAUGUUUUGGAUCAUUGGAAAUUCAUUCGUCCUCGUCAACCCCAUUAUUCCCGAGCAAAGCAUCGACGCUCAACUCAUCCAGAUGGAGUGAGUGAUGGUGGAAUUUGUAAGUGUUAAGCGUCCGGGCGAAAAGGGAGGCGGGGCAGUGCGGGUCCAGGAGACUCGUCCACCGAAAAUAAACCUGCAUGAAGGGGAAAACGAGCGAGAGAGACAGACAGAGGGAGGAGGAGGAAGAAGAAGGGAAAGAGCUCGUAAGAGUGCAGGGGGAAAUACGGGAGAGAGAGAGAGAGAGAGAGAGAGAGAAAGAGGGGAGUGCCUGCGUUUGCAGUGGAUUAAAAACUGCGCAAUUUCCAGACUCGCAUCUCUAACACGCUAAAAUGAAACUCAUGAGUGGACACGAGAGACUCACGCCGUGGCACCGUUUUUGCCACGCAAAACGGCAUCAUAUAACGAAACCGGAGAGAAGUCGUGAGAUUUAUGCGUGCUUUCUUGGAGAAAGCUCGGAAACAAUUUUGCGCGCUGAUGUUUGUCAAAUCAUCUCCUCUUACAGUGGUUUCGUAACGCAACUGCGUGCAGAAUCCACAUUCACGCCGAUAUAAUACAACGUGCGUUUAGAAAUGGCAGGUUUAUGAUAUUACAGGAGGUACAGAUGGAUCGCGUUGUGCGGCGUCCAUUCACUGCGCGAGAGGAGCGAAACUGCGUAGUUGCUUAUUUAGGUUGUAUUUUUACAAUGAGGACAUGCGAGAUGAAGCCACCUCCCAGUUUGACCCUCCGUUCAUUAGCAGAUUUAGUUUUUUCACUAUGGCUGAGAUUUGGUUGGCCAACAUGACGUCAUUGUCACUCAGGAUUGUGAGGCUCACAUGUGUCAUGAAAUGCCUCAGUGCUUACACCUAGCCAGUGGAAGAGGAAGAUCAAGGCAGAUUUUUCAAAGUGGGUCAAUGGGGUGGAUGGAUGCUGCCUGCACAAACCGAGUGGCUGGAGUGGAGAGACAGAGGUUACGACAGCGAGCAGGAUGCAGUUCAUGGCCUGACCUGAUGGUAGAGCGGAGAAUGGGAAGCGGAGACCUGACAAGAGCUGAGACAAUAGAGCUGGAUAAAGAAGGAUGCGGUCACCUGACACGUCUUCACCACAAAAUUUCAAAUGCUAUUAGAUUAUUAAAGUAUAAUCUUAAACUAUAAUUUACCUUAUUAGUAAGUUUAUUUAUUUUAUUUAGCCCUGUUGUGCAAGCUCUCUGGAGCUUGUGCAGAGGCAGCAGCUUUUGCCAGAGGGGAACUGGAAUCCCCUGGUUGGGCCUGGGUUCUCCUGAGGUUUUUUUUCUCAAUUAGAGUUGUGGGUUCCUCGCCACCGUUUGCAUACUGUUUUUUGCACUGGCCAGGGGGCUGCUUUAGAAUUUUAAAGUUUUACUUAAUUAAUAUUGCAUAUAGGAAUUUAUAGUCUGUUAUAUUUGACCUGUGCUUCUCUCCCCUUUAUCUUAAAUGUGUGCUCUCACUGAGCAUGUGUGUGCGUUCGUGUCUGUGUGUGUGCGUGCGUGUCUGUGUGUGUGUGCGUACUUGUCUGUGUACGUGUGUGUGUGCGUGCGUGCACGUCCGUGUGUGUGUGUUUAUGUCUAUGUGUGUUAGUACGUGUGCAUAUUGUGUGUGUGGAAUGUUUUGUAUGUGGGUAUGUCUGUCUUCUGUGUUCCCUUUCUGUCGGUCUCUCGAUGUUGUGUCGAGCCAACAGAUGGGGUUCGUCCCUGAAAACCAGUCGCUUCCGACUUCUUAGAAAAGGCCAAUGAAAUUGGCGAAUGAAAUUUGC